rnacentral:rRNA from 1 species
AGGGGGCUAGCGUUGCUCGGAAUCACUGGGCGUAAAGCGCACGUAGGCGGGUCUUUAAGUCAGGGGUGAAAUCCUGGAGCUCAACUCCAGAACUGCCUUUGAUACUGAGGAUCUCGAGUCCGGGAGAGGUGAGUGGAACUCCGAGUGUAGAGGUGAAAUUCGUAGAUAUUCGGAAGAACACCAGUGGCGAAGGCGGCUCACUGGCCCGGUACUGACGCUGAUGUGCGAAAGCGUGGGGAGCAAACAGG